UCCGGCAAUAAAUUGCCGGGCUAUUUUCGGCCGUCCCUGCGGGACU
rnacentral:sRNA from 1 species